rnacentral:rRNA from 1 species
AGGAUGAACGCUAGCGGCAGGCCUAACACAUGCAAGUCGAGGGGUAACAUGGUGUGCUUGCACACUGAUGACGACCGGCGCACGGGUGCGCAACGCGUAUAGAACCUACCCUGUACAGGGGGAUAGCCCGGAGAAAUCCGGAUUAAUACCCCGUGGUAACAUGAUACUGGCAUCGUUAUUAUAGUUAAAGCCGUUCGGGUGGUACGGAUGGCUAUGCGUCUAUUAGCCAGAGUGGUGAACGGUAACGGCUACACCGAUACGUCGUACG